rnacentral:lncRNA from 1 species
AAGCGCAGGCCUUUCUCAAUUAUCGCGACUAUCUGAUAUUGGGAAGGUCAUCAUCGCACGGGAGGAAAACGGGGAAGACAAAGUCUCGGGGAAUAGAAGGGUCAAAUUCUUAUCACAUUCAAGUGAAAGCAAAGUAACCCACAACAGACAAAACAUUGCUAUAAACUGCACAGGACCGAACUACAGUUCUUCCCCCCCUGUUUACUUUUGUCUGGACUUCUUUGGGACCCCAAAUCUGAAAUUGGAAAAGGCCCCUCCUCAAACCGUUGCACUUAACCAGC